rnacentral:rRNA from 1 species
CCUACGGGAGGCAGCAGUCGAGAAUCAUUCACAAUGGGGGAAACCCUGAUGGUGCGACGCCGCGUGGGGGAAUGAAGGUCUUCGGAUUGUAAACCCCUGUCAUGUGGGAGCAAAUUAAAAAGAUAGUACCACAAGAGGAAGAGACGGCUAACUCUGUGCCAGCAGCCGCGGUAAUACAGAGGUCUCAAGCGUUGUUCGGAAUCACUGGGCGUAAGGCGUGCGUAGGCUGUUUCGUAAGUCGUGUGUGAAAGGCGCGGGCUCAACCCGCGGACGGCACAUGAUACUGCGAGACUAGAGUAAUGGAGGGGGAACCGGAAUUCUCGGUGUAGCAGUGAAAUGCGUAGAUAUCGAGAGGAACACUCGUGGCGAAGGCGGGUUCCUGGACAUUAACUGACGCUGAGGCACGAAGGCCGGGGGAGCGAAAGGGAUUAGAUACCCCUGUAGUC